rnacentral:lncRNA from 1 species
AUAACAAAGUGUAUAGAGAUAAAUGUCACAAUAUAAUCAGAGUACUUAUUACAUAGCGAAAGUCUUAAAAAAUAAAGUUAAAUAUAGAUCGAACUAAAAUCCAUCCUUGGCGCCAGAAAGUCAACUAGGAGACGCCACCUAGAUCGAAUCGAACUCCUCGAUGUGUGGCUCCACUUGAACCACCUGUUCUUCUCUUGUGGGGGGUGUGAAACAGCAAGGAUGAGCUCACACAUGUUCAUCGCUCAACAAGUUAUGGGGAAUAAUGUGGCAUGAACUCACCAAAGGUGGGAAUUCAUGUGAUAUGUGAGCUGAUCAACAAUAGGGGUUAAAGUUGAGCAUUGCUUUUAAUAAGUUGGUCAAAAUUUUAUUAACAGUUACUAAAUGUAAGUGAAUACCAAACCAUAAUAAAAAUAAUACAACAAAAUUAAUAAAUAAUCCCAUGCAAAUGCAAAUGACAAAUUGAAUUUAAGUUCCAUAAAUUAAUCAUGCGAGACUCCUGAGCUGCUCAUGACCGUGAGCUCGGCUAGUAUACCAGUUUUACACUCUGCAGAGGUUGUACCCUGUACCCACAAGUCGUGUAUCCCAUGUCGCCAGGGUUUGCAAGGCCCUUAGACACUACCGAGGUGAAUGGCUAGGGAUCCACUACGAGGCAUCUACAAAGUUCCACUAGCUUCCAAAAACCUACAUCGCAGAAAAUCAACCCGAGAACCUCCUUGCAUGCAACUCCCCUACUGCCCUUGCCCCUUUCGGGUAAGGUAGUCUUCCACUAGCUUUCCUAAUUAGUCAGCCAAGGGCGUCCCAUUCCACCCUUGUGGUGGCACGUGUUUCUCAAGUUAAGCUUGAUGUUCUAAUUAAUAUUAAUGAUCUUGACAUGAACAUAAAUAGAAUAACAAAAUAAUUAGAACAUGGAUAUAAUGAAAUAUUAUCCCAAAACCAUGUAAAGCAAUAGCAAAACUAACCAAGUGAUUAAGGGAUAACAAGGUAAAGUGAUAAACAGUCUAGGGUGACCUAUUGGGUCCCAUCAAAAUUAAACCUAUGCAUUGAAUAGUGAUAAUAAAGAAUAUUAUUGGGUAACAAAAGUGGAUCAAGGGCACAACUUGCCUGGCACUUGAGAUUCCAGUUACCAGGGUGAUUCUUCGGAUCCUUGUGACUGCACUGCUAGUUGUAGCAAUACAAACAAACAUGGUAUAGACAAAAUUAACAUCACACCAAACAUAAGUACAAACUGAAUAAUAAUGAUCUACGCGUUUUAACGAUAUCGUGGGAUCGAGAACUAGUAAAAUCGGGGUCAUGGUUAUGAAGUUAUGAUUUUCUGAAGUAUUAUGUGAUUAAACAGGAAAACUCAAUCCUAGGUCGAUUUUAAGUAAUAUAAAUCAUGUGAGAAAGAUAAUUGAAAUAAUUAACUAACUUACUCUUGAUCAGAUUAUACUUGAUUAGAAAACAUAUUUUAGCUCCCAUUAUAAUCAUAGACAUAGUAAUCUUUGGUUAGUAGGAUAAAUCUACUAAACAUAGGAUAAAUAAAUAUCUAAUUGUAAAAGUAUAUGAUAUGAUAUAAUUAGGGCUAACAUUGUGUAGGCAAUCUUAUUACAAAAUUAACGCAACUGGAACAUGUCAAUUUGGGGUUAAAACAGAUAAGUUAUGGAUUUUCUACCUUUUCUAGAAUUAUUUCUAUAUUAAAAACCGAUUUCCAUAUUUAUUUUGCAACUUGUGGACCGCGGCCAUUAAUUUUAGGAAGUACAUGGUCUUUCACGUAAAUAUUUGGACCUGGUUGCAAUGAUCCGAACGCUGCCAAGGAUGGCGGGUUAAUUCAUGUGUUUGUCAGGGGCCCCUUAGAAAAAUGUACCCGCGAAGGGGUACAAUGCGAUCUGAGCCGCAGGAUCGGAGUUCUGUAGCUGCGAUUAGAUCGACCAAUAACACUAAACCGGUAUGCGAUCGGGACCGUUCGAUAUCGAUCAACGCACAGGAUUUAAAAACGUUGGGACCAGAUCUCCACCGUCGAUAACCCGAUCCACGAUCACGGCUUUAAUUCACUCGAUUGGCUCAACACCACAUAUCUGUCGAUCGACGGCAAUGGCGAACCCGAGUCGAACCAACGCUCUCCUAGACCCCAUUCACCCGAUCAAGAUCCAAUGGUCCCUGAUCGUCGCCCCUUCUAACCACACUGACUAUCAUCGCGCGGCGGCAUGCGACGGCCGACGGCCAUGGUGGCUGGCGAGCAGUGCCCCGCGGCCCAGGCGCUCUAAUUCUACGCUAAUAAGGGUAGGAGAUUGAGAAGAUCCACGCGAACACAAUAGAGGAUGACUUACCGGAGCUCACACAAUGCAGAUCCCUGUCCACGGUGAUAGGCGGGCACACGACGGUGACCAUGCUCCGAUGAGCGAUUCAGCCAACACAGACCGAUCACCACCGCUCACAAGGUCACGGCCGAGUCCAGAGCUGCAUGGCGAAUCUCCCUGGCCCCAUGCCAUGGUCCAGAGAUCGACACGCGCACAUGCCCCAUGGCGGCACAUCCCGCCUCGCUCUCUCUCUCUCUCACCGGUGAGACUCAUGGUUGGUCCUAGCAUCUAAGAAUGAACGGCGUGAGAUUCACGCGUUAGGAAGGAGGGGCGAAGGUUGAAGAUGGGUUGUCACAGGGCUAGGGCGCUACAUGUAGGAGCAGGAAGAUCCGGGAUUGAGCCACGAACCCCCGAUCUCCCCGCGCCAGUCUGCAGUUGAGCCUGGCGGCUCUUAAGGGCAUGCGAGUGGAGACCCAGGAGCUUGACGCGCAGGAGUAGCCGCCUGCACUGGUGUCGGGGUAGUUACGCAUCGGGCGGGAUUCGGAACUGGGACUCCGGAUUCCCAGGCGAGCUUGGAGGAUUCGGCUGCAAGUGCUCGCGCACGAUUGAAGAAGAAUAGGAGCGCUACUGACAAGAGGGCCCACCUGCAGGACACCGCGCCAACGUGCUAGCACGGACAAAAAAGAUAGAAACGGAGACUGGAGUGAUGGCCCCACCCGUCAGCGCUGUGUAUGUGGAAUCUAGUUGUGCCGUGCGGGUGAGGAAUUGGUUGGGCCGAAUUGGUCGGCGCGGCCCAUUUAGGUUAGAAUUCUUUCUCUAUUUCUUUUCUUAUUUUCUUCAUUUUCCUUUUAAUUUCUAAAAUUCAAAUUUGAAUUCAAUUUUUAAUUGUGAACUCUUGCUCAUUUUAAAUGUACAAAUUGAAGCCAUUAAUAUGGAAGGUCUAACUGUUUUUUUAUAUUUAUAUUUUCUUUAUCUUUGCUUGGUAUUCUCCUUUUCUUUUCUCCACAUUUUAAUUUCCAAAUUUGGUUUCAAUUCAAAUUUGGACAUUAUUGAAUUUCUAUUAAUAUCUUCAUUAUUAUUAUCAAAUGCACACACAUAUAAACUCCAACACGAUGCAAUAGAUAUAUAUAUUUAUUUUAAUUGAUUUAUUUGUUUGGUAGAUGUUCGAAAUAUGCAAAACACUCAUAUUGUUUUCUUUCUCCUUAGGAAAAUAAUAUUUUGAAGGUGGGAUAAGAAGUAAAAGUUACUUUAGAAUUAAGUAAUCAUGUAAAUAAAUGCUUAUGGUACAUCAUCUAUUGAUAUGCAUAAUCAUUUAGUUGAAUAGAAAUCUAAUCUAUCACUUCUCUUCUGAGAUAAUUCUUGGAUUCCAAAACUGAGUCCUCAAAUUUCAACACUCAGGUAUACUUUGAGAUAUCUGAAUUUACUAUUUUCUUUCUUCAUAUAUUUACUUUAUUAUUAUUUUUUCUAUACAUAUUUUGGGCCUUACAAAUCCUACCCCCUUAACAGAAAUCUCGUCCUCGAGAUUUGUAAGGAAAGGGUGUAUAACCAUGCUAUCUCAAAACAUAUGCACAAACAAAAUCUCAGCAUGAUGCAUACUUUAUUAGCAACACAUGGGGUCAAUUAGACCUUAUUAUUCCUCCUAAAAUAGUAUCAUACCAUCUAAUAACUAAAGUAACACUUAGAUCUUACAAAUAGUAGUAAUAUAUAUGUAUGUUUAUGUAGCUUGGUGGAGCUGGUGGUGGUGGUGGUAGUGGGUGUUGUUGUUGUCUUUCCAACUAUGCUUGCUUUAUUUCUCGACGUAUCUCUAGCCGGUCCUGACGUAUUUCCUCGCAUUCUUGUCUUAUCUGAUUUUGCAAUUCGGUAACCAUGUUUGCCAUUUUGUUGUAUUAGCAUCAUUUGGGUGGCAACCACUUGAUCGAUUCCAACUGGUGGGGGAUUUGGAGGAUUCAUUUCUGUUUGCUGUUGCUUGAUGAUCUUCCCUUUCUGGUAUUGACCAUGAGAGUUAAAAGCAUAUAGUAAUAUAAUUUUGCAAGGAAAAUUAUUUGGUCAGUAGGAUGAAUAGGCCAAUAACUGGUUAUGAUCUGAAGAUUCUUUGGCAGGGAUUAAUCUUUGUUUUAUGCCAAGCUUGGGAUAACUAGUCGUAUAAGAUGAAUGUCCAAAGGUAAGAUAGAAUCUGUCAGGAUGAGAUAGAUAUGGGUGAGAUAGACUACAUGGUGUAGGUCAAAAGUUUGUUUGAUGUUAGGUGGGGAUAGAUAGAUUAUGCAACCCAUCAUGACACUAAGGGUUGGGUUAGCUCUUAUGCUCCUGGUUGUGUUGGUUUAAUGUGCUAAGUUAUGUCAACACCUGACUAGUAGGGUUCCAGUACCAUUAAUUUGUCUAAGUAGACCACAUUAGUUCAGAUCACAUUAGAUCGCAUUAGAUUCUAUAAUCCUAUUUAAGAAUAUCAUUUAGUUAAGUGUAUCAAGCUGACCUUAUCUUUAUAUAUAUAUAUAUAUAUAUAUAUAUAUAUAUAUAUAUUACACCUGAUUUUUUAUGCCAUUAGCAGGUGUGGUAUAGAAACAAGGGUACAUCAUGUUUUAGCUAUUUGGUGAGUGUUGACAUAGAAAAAGUGUACUAUGGCAUAAUGAAGCCUCCUUUGGGGGUCUGAAUUAGGGACCAUCGGUCAUGGGGUUAGAUGCCAUUAUCCAAGUUGGGAUAACAAUUGCGGGUACACAGGAUAGGUGUAGUAAACAUAGUUUUACUUCGCCUUUGGGAUAAAUGAGUUGGGCAACCUAUAACAUAGGCUGGGUCAUGGUUCCACGAACGGGUUGGUCUAAGACACCAAUUUAAAUUUAAAACUCAUUUAUCGGAAUGUGGUUUAGUUAAUACUUGUAAUAUAGAUUAGACCAUAUUAGAUUAGGUAGGGUCUAAAUUAGAUUGGAUAUAACUGGUUUAAACUUAGUUUAAGUUAGAUAGGUCUACCAGGUUAGAUUAUAUACUAUUAGGAUAUGUUAGAAUCUUUUGAGAUAAGAUGGAUUCUAUGGUGUAGGUAGGUCAGAAUCUCUGUCGGUUAAAACAGAGGGGUCAUGCAACUAUCGGGUGGUUAAGGUAGUUGCAUAUGGCCAGGUUGGACUAAAACCCAAUUUAGGUUAAAACAUAUUUACAAGAGUAGGAUCCAAUCUUAUUUUACCAGUAUUAUCUAACAUGUUUGUCCAUUAGAUUAGAUCUGACUAGAUUAGAUGGGAUCAGAAUUAAAUUAGUGUAAUCAGAUUAGACUAGACAAGAUCUACCCAAUUUAUUUUGUAAAGGGAUCAUGUUUGUUACACUUUUAUGAGAUAAGCAAAGUGGUUGGGAUAAGUAUGCUCAUUAGGACAAGAUGAGUCUCUAAGAAUAAGAUAGAAUCUUUUGAGAUUAGUUAGAUCUAUUAGGAUAAGAUGAGAAUCCUUUCGAGAUGAGAUGAGUCUAUUAAGGUAAGAGAGUAUCUUUUAAGAUAAGAUGGAUCAUUUAAGAUAAGAAAGAGUCUUUUAAGGUAAGAGGGAUUUCUAUGAAAUAGAUACAUUUUAAUGGAGGAUAAUCUAAGUUGUUUAGUAAUCUUAUGAAUUCUAUUUAUGCCUAUACGUAUAUGCAGAUAUAAUUGUGGACAUUACUCCACAACUAAUCACACUCAAUCAAAGAUCCAAAUCAGACAAAUAUCAUAGGAACAAACACUCAAGCAUAUAGGCACCUAUAAAAAAUAGUUUUGUUUUUUGUUCCUAAGAGUAGGUCUCCUAUUCCUAAAGGUUACUUUAGGCACAGGAUUUCAAAGUGUGAAAUCCACAUUUGUCUUUAGAAAGAAAAGGUAAGAAUAAUCAGAGUAAAGCUGAAAUAGACGAGAAAAGAUUAAGAUAAGUUUAGAAAGAAUCAGAGUAGCAGAGGUAAGUAGGAAUUGGUUGUCCAGUUCUAUCUAGGUUUCGUCCUACAGUCAACAUUCCUCUGAUACCACUUCUAUCACACCCGGGCUUUAAGAGACAAAGCCGGGUGCAUCUCAUACAUGCGCCAAAGAAGACAACAUAUAUAAUAACAGAGUGUAUAGAGAUAAAUGUCACAAUAUAAUCAGAGUACUUAUUACAUAGCGGAAGUCUUACAAAAUAAAGCUAAAUAUAGAUCGAACUAAAAUCCAUCCUUGGCGCCAGAAAGUCAACUGGGAGACGCCACCUAGAUCGAAUCGAACUCCUCGAUGUGUGGCUCCACUUGAACCACCUGUUCUUCUCCUGUGGGGGUGUAAGACAGCAAGGGUGAGCUAACACAUGUUCAUCGCUCAACAAGUUGUGGGGAAUAAUGUGGCAUGAACUCACCAAAGGUGGGAGUUCAUGUGAUGUGUGAAGCUGAUCAACAAUAGGGGUUAAACCUGAGCAUUGCUUUUUAAUAAGUUGGUCAAAAUUUUAUUAGCAGUUACUAAAUGUAAGUGAAUACCAAACCAUAAUAAAAAUAAUAUAACAAAAUUAAUAAAUAAUCCCAUGCAAAUGACAAAUUGGAUUUAAGUUCCAUAAAUUAAUCAUGCGAGAGUCCUGAGCUACUCAUGACAGUGAGCUUGGCUAGUAUACAAGUUUUACACUCUGUAGAGGUUAUACCCUGUACCCACAAGUCGUGUAUCCCAUGUCGUUAGGGUUUGCAAGGCCCUUAGACACUACCAAGGUGAAUGGCUAGGGAUCCACAACGAGGCCUUUACAAAGUUCCACUAGCUUCCGAAAACCUCCAUCGCAGAAAAUCAACGCGAGAACCUCCUUGCAUGCAACUCCCCUACUGCUCUUGCCUCUUUCGGGUAAGGUAGUCUUCCACUAGCUUUCCUAAUUAGUCAGCCAAGGGCGUCCCAUUCCACCCUUGUGGUGGCACGUGUUUCUCAAGAUAAGCUCCAUGUUCCAAUUAAAAUUAAUGAUCUUGACAUGAACAUAAAUAGAAUAACAAAAUAAUUGGAACAUGGAUAUAAUGAAAUAUUAUCCCAAAACCAUGUAAAGCAAUAGCAAAAAUAUCCAAGUGAUUCAGGGAUAACAAGGUAAAGUGAUAAACAGUCUAGGGUGACCUAUUGGGUCCCAUCAAAAUUAAACCUAUGCAUUGAAUAGUGAUAAUAAAGAAUAUUAUUGGGUAAUAAAAGUGGAUCAAGGGCACAACUUGCCUAGCACUUGAGAUUCCAGUUACCAGGGUGAUUCUUCGGAUCCUCGUGACCGCACUGCUAGUCGUAGCAAUACAAACAGACAUGGUAUAGACAAAAUUAACAUCACACCAAACAUAAGUACAAACUGAAUAAUAAUGAUCUACGCGUCGUAACGAGAUUGUGGGAUCGAGAACUAGUAAAAUCGGGGUCAUGGUUAUGAAGUUAUGAUUUUCUAAAGUAUUAUGUGAUUAAACAGGAAAACUCAAUCCUAGGUCGAUUAUACGUAAUAUAAAUCAUGUGAGAAAGAUAAUUGAAAUAAUUAACUAACUUACUCUUGAUCAGAUUAAACUUUAUUAGAAAACAUAUUUUAGCUCCCAUUAUAAUCAUAGACAUAGUAAUCUUUGGUUAGUAGGAUAAAUCUACUAAACAUAGGAUAAAUAAAUAUCUAAUUGUAAAAGUAUAUGAUAUGAUAUAAUUAGGGCUAACAUUGUGUAGGCAAUCUUAUUACGAAACUAACGCAACUGGAACAGGUCAAUUUGGGGUUAAAACAGAUAAGUUAUGAAUUUUCUGCCUUUUCUAGAAUUAUUCCUAUAUUAAAAACCGAUUUCCAUAUUUAUUUUGCAACUUGUGGACCACAGCCAUUAAUUUCAGGAAGCACAGGGUCUUUCACGUAAAUAUUUGGACCUGGUUGCAAUGAUCCGAACGCUGCCGAGGAUGGCGGGUUAAUUCAUGUGUUUGUGAGGGGGCCCUUAGAAAAAUGUAUCCACGAAGGGGUACAAUGUGAUCUGAGCCGCAGGAUCAGAGUUCUAUGGCUACGAUUAGAUCGACCAAUAACACUGAAUCGGUAUGCGACGGGGACCGUUCGAUACAGAUCAACGCACAUGAUUUAAAAACGCUGGGACCAGAUCUCCACCGUCGAUAACCCGAUCCACGAUCACGGUUUUAAUUCACGCGAUUGGCUCAACACCACACAUCUGUCGAUCGACGGUAGUGGCGAACCCGAGUCGAACCAAUGCUCGCCUAGACCCCAUUCACCUGAUCAAGAUCAAAUGGUCCCUGAUCGUCGCCCCUUCUAACCACACCGACUAUCAUCGCGCGGUGGCGCGCGACGGCCGACGGCCAUGCCACGCUAGCGAGCAUUGCCCCGCGGCCCAGGCGCUCUAAUUCUACGCUAAUAAGGGUAGGAGAUUGAGAAGAUCCACGCGAACACAGUAGAGGAUGACUUACCGGAGCUCAAGCAAUGCAAAUCCAUGUCCACGGUGACAGGCGGGCACGCGACGGUGACCAUGCUCCGACGAGCGAUUCAGCCAACGCCAACCGAUCACCACCGCUCACAAGGUCACGGCCGAGUCUAGAGCUGCAUGGCGAAUCUCCCUGGCCCCAUGCCAUGGUCCAGAGAUCGACACGCGUGCAUGCCCCAUGGCGACACAUCCCGCCUCACUCUCUCUCUCUCUCUCUCUCUCUCUCUCUCUCUCUCUCUCACCGGCGAGACUCACAGUUGGUCCUAGUGGCUAAGAAUGAACGGCGCGAGAUUCACGCAUUAGGAAGGAGGGGCGGAGGUUGAAGAUGGGUUGUCACAGGGCUAGGACGCUACAUGUAGGAGCAAGAAGAUCCGGGAUUGAGCCACGAACCCCCGAUCUCCCCGCGUCAGUCCGCAGUUGAGCCUGGCGGCUUUUAAGGACGUGCGAG